AGUCACUACGGUUGUUAUGUGAUUGUCAGAUUACAAGCUAUACAUGUCAACAUCCAGUACAGGUUUCUAACUGCUUAAUUAGAUUUAACUGUGCUUAAUAAGAUUUAACCAUUCCUCAUAAAAUUUAACCAUGCUUAAUAAGAUUCAACCAUGCUUAAUAAGAGUUUGCCAUGCUUAAUAAGAUUUAGCCAUGCUUAGUAAGAGUUAACCAUGCUUAAUUAGAGUCAACCAUGCUUAGUAAGGG